UACGGGGGGGGCAAGCGUUGUUCGGAAUUACUGGGCGUAAAGGGUUUGUAGGUGGCCCGCUAAGUCACACGUGAAAUCCCUCAGCUUAACUGGGGAACUGCGUGUGAGACUGGCAGGCUCGAGGGCAGGAGAGGAACGCGGAAUUCCAGGUGUAGCAGUGAAAUGCGUAGAUAUCUGGAGGAACACCGGUGGCGAAGGCGGCGUUCUGGACUGUCUCUGACACUGAAGAACGAAGGCCAGGGGAGCAAACGGG
rnacentral:rRNA from 1 species